CAGUAGCCGCGGGAAUACGAAGGGGGCUAGCGUUGUUCGGAAUAACUGGGCGUAAAGCGUGCGUAGGUGGUGGUUUAAGUCCGUUGUGAAAGCCCUGGGCUCAACCUGGGAAUUGCAGUGGAUACUGGGUCACUAGAGUGUGGUAGAGGAUAGUGGAAUUUCCGGUGUAGCAGUGAAAUGCGUAGAGAUCGGAAGGAACAUCUGUGGCGAAGGCGACUAUCUGGGCCAACACUGACACUGAGGCACGAAAGCGUGGGGAGCAAACAGGAUUAGAUACCCCGGUAGUCCCUGUCUCUUAUAC
rnacentral:rRNA from 1 species